rnacentral:rRNA from 1 species
GAUGAACGCUGGCGGCGUGCCUAAUACAUGCAAGUCGAGCGAACGGACGAUAAGCUUUCUUCUCUGAUGUUAGCGGCGGACGGGUGAGUAACACGUGGAUAACCUACCUAUAAGACUUGGAUAACUUCGGGAAACCGCAGCUAAUACCGGCUAAUAUUUUGAACCGCAUGGUUCAAAAGUGAAAGACGCUCUUGCUGUCACUUAUAGAUGGAUCCGCGCUGCAUUAGCUAGUUGGUAAGGUAACGGCUUACCAAGGCAACGAUGCAUAGCCGACCUGAGAGGAUGAUCGGCCACACUGGAACUGAGACACGGUCCAGACUCCUACGGGAGGCAGCAGUAGGGAAUAUUCCGCAAUGGGCGAAAGCCUGACGGAGCAACGCCGCGUGAGUGAUGAAGGUCUUCGGAUCGUAAAACUCUGUUAUUAGGGAAGAACAUAUGUGUAAGUAACUGUGCACAUCUUGACGGUACCUAAUCAGAAAGCCACGGCUAACUACGUG